rnacentral:rRNA from 1 species
AUUGAACGCUGGCGGCAGGCCUAACACAUGCAAGUCGAGCGGGGUUUUCGGACCUAGCGGCGGACGGGUGAGUAAUGCGUAGGAAGCUACCCGAUAGAGGGGGAUACCAGUUGGAAACGACUGUUAAUACCGCAUAAUGUCUACGGACCAAAGUGUGGGACCUUCGGGCCACAUGCUAUCGGAUGUGCCUACGUGGGAUUAGCUAGUUGGUGAGGUAAUGGCUCACCAAGGCGACGAUCCCUAGCUGGUUUGAGAGGAUGAUCAGCCACACUGUGACUGAGACACGGUCCAGACUCCUACGGGAGGCAGCAGUGGGGAAUAUUGGACAAUGGGCGCAAGCCUGAUCCAGCCAUGCCGCGUGUGUGAAGAAGGCCUUCGGGUUGUAAAGCACUUUCAGUAAGGAGGAAGCGUUGAGUGUUAAUAGUACUCAGCGUUGACGUUACUUACAGAAGAAGCACCGGCUAACUCUGUGCCAGCCGCCGCCGUAAUAC